rnacentral:rRNA from 1 species
GAUGAACGCUGGCGGCGUGCUUAACACAUGCAAGUCGAACGAAACACCUUAUUUGAUUUUCUUCGGAACUGAAGAUUUGGUGAUUGAGUGGCGGACGGGUGAGUAACGCGUGGGUAACCUGCCCUGUACAGGGGGAUAACAGACAGAAAUGACUGCUAAUACCGCAUAAGACCACAUCACCGCAUGGUGCAGGGGUAAAAACUCCGGUGGUACACGAUGGACCCGCGUCUGAUUCGCUGGUUGGUGAGGUAACGGCACACCAAGGCGACGAUCAGUAGCCGGCAUGAGAGACAGCAUGGACAGAUUGGGACUGAGACACGGCCCAAAAUCCCACGGGAGGCAGCAGUGGGGAAUAUUGCACAGUGGGGGAAACCCUGAUGCAGCGAGGACGCGUGAGUGAAGCAGUAUUUGGGUAUGUAAAGCUCUAUCAGCAGGGAAGAAAAUGAAGGUACCUGACAAAGAAGCCACGGCUAACUACGUG